rnacentral:rRNA from 1 species
UACGUAGGGGGCAAGCGUUGUCCGGAAUUAUUGGGCGUAAAGAGCGCGUAGGCGGUCCGGUAAGUCGGUUGUGAAAGUCGGGGGCUCAACCCUCGGAUGCCGAUCGAUACUGUCGGGCUAGAGUCCGGAAGAGGCGAGUGGAAUUCCUGGUGUAGCGGUGAAAUGCGCAGAUAUCAGGAGGAACACCGGUGGCGAAGGCGGGUCUCUGGGCCGAUACUGACGCUGAGGAGCGAAAGCGUGGGGAGCGAACCGG